rnacentral:rRNA from 1 species
CCUACGGUGUGCAGCAGUGAGGAAUAUUGGUCAAUGGUCGGGAGACUGAACCAGCCAAGCCGCGUGAGGGAGGAAGGUACAGAGUAUCGUAAACCUCUUUUGUCAGGGAACAAAGACUGGGACGCGUCCCCGGAUGAGUGUACCUGAAGAAAAAGCAUCGGCUAACUCCGUGCCAGCAGCCGCGGUAAUACGGAGGAUCCGAGCGUUAUCCGGAUUUAUUGGGUUUAAAGGGAGCGUAGAUGGGUUGUUAAGUCAGUUGUGAAAGUUUGCGGCUCAACCGUAAAAUUGCAAUUGAUACUGGCAGUCUUGAGUACAGUUGAGGUAGGCGGAAUUCGUGGUGUAGCGGUGAAAUGCUUAGAUAUCACGAAGAACCCCGAUUGCGAAGGCAGCUUACUAAACUGUGACUGACAUUGAUGCUCGAAAGUGUGGGUAUCAAACAGGAUUAGAUACCCUAGUAGUC